rnacentral:rRNA from 1 species
UACGAAGGGGGCUAGCGUUGCUCGGAAUCACUGGGCGUAAAGGGUGCGUAGGCGGGUCUUUAAGUCAGAGGUGAAAUCCUGGAGCUCAACUCCAGAACUGCCUUUGAUACUGAAGAUCUUGAGUUCGGGAGAGGUGAGUGGAACUGCGAGUGUAGAGGUGAAAUUCGUAGAUAUUCGCAAGAACACCAGUGGCGAAGGCGGCUCACUGGCCCGAUACUGACGCUGAGGCGCGAAAGCCAGGGGAGCAAAGCGGG